CCUACGGGUGACAGCAGUGAGGAAUAUUGGUCAAUGGGCGCGAGCCUGAACCAGCCAAGUAGCGUGAGGGAUGACUGCCCUACGGGUUGUAAACUUCUUUUAUAAGGGAAUAAAGUCCGGCACUUGUGCCGUUUUGUAUUUACUGUACGAAUAAGGUUCGGCUAACUCCUGGCCAGCACCCGCGGUAAUACGGAGGGUCCGAGCGUUAUCCGGAUUUGUUGGGUUUAAAGGGAGCGUAGAGGGGUUGUUAAUGCAGGUGGGAAAGUUGGGGGCUCAAACGUAGAAUUGCAGUUGAUACUGGGAGCCUUGAGUGCGGCAGAGGUAGGCGGAAUUCGUGGUGUAGCGGUGAAAUGCAUAGAUAUCACGAAGAACACCGAUUGCGAAGGCAGCCUACUGGGGUGCAACUGACGCUGAUGCUCGAAAGUGUGGGUAUCAAACAGGAUUAGAUACCCUAGUAGUC
rnacentral:rRNA from 1 species